GUCGAGCGCCCUCUUCGGAGGGAGCGGCGGACGGGUUAGUAACGCGUGGGAACGUGCCCUUCUCUAAGGAAUAGCCUCUGGAAACGGAGAGUAAUACCUUAUACGCCCUUCGGGGGAAAGAUUUAUCGGAGAAGGAUCGGCCCGCGUUAGAUUAGAUAGUUGGUGGGGUAACGGCCUACCAAGUCGACGAUCUAUAGCUGGUUUGAGAGGAUGAUCAGCAACACUGGGACUGAGACACGGCCCAGACUCCUACGGGAGGCAGCAGUGGGGAAUCUUAGACAAUGGGCGCAAGCCUGAUCUAGCCAUGCCGCGUGAGUGAUGAAGGCCUUAGGGUCGUAAAGCUCUUUCGCCAGAGAUGAUAAUGACAGUAUCUGGUAAAGAAACCCCGGCUAACUCCGUGCCAGCAGCCGCGGUAAUACGGAGGGGGUUAGCGUUGUUCGGAAUUACUGGGCGUAAAGCGCGCGUAGGCGGACCGUUAAGUUAGGGGUGAAAUCCCGGGGCUCAACCCCGGAACUGCCCUUAAUACUGGCGGUCUUGAGUUCGAGAGAGGUGAGUGGAAUUCCGAGUGUAGAGGUGAAAUUCGUAGAUAUUCGGAGGAACACCAGUGGCGAAGGCGGCUCACUGGCUCGAUACUGACGCUGAGGUGCGAAAGCGUGGGGGAGCAAACAGGAUUAGAUACCCUGGUAGUCCACGCCGUAAA
rnacentral:rRNA from 1 species